GCACCGCUAGUCUAAUGGUUAGGAUGUCUGCCUUCUAAGCAUAUGGUCCGGGUUCGAUUCCCGGGCCGUACG
rfam:Perkinsus marinus ATCC 50983 gcontig_1104296319434, whole genome shotgun sequence.